UGGUAUAAUUAUGUCAACUACUCAACUAGAAUUCUAAGCUUCUUGGAGAAGGUACAGCAAAGUCUGGCAGAGUAUUUUGCAGGGAGCUUAGUAAUAAGAGCUAACACUUAGGGGCCCCUGGGUGGCUCAGUCAGUGAAGUGUCUGCCUUCGGCUUGGGUCAUGAUCUCAGAGUCCUGGGAUUGAGGUCCAUGUCCAGCUCUCUGCUCAGCAAGGAGUCUGCUUCUCCCUCUCCCUCUAUGCCUAUACUCUCCCUCUCCCAAAUAAAUAAAAACCAUUUAAAAAACCCUAACAUAAAAAAAAAAAAAACCUAACAUUUAUGGAACAUAUACUGUGUACUAGAUAAAAUGCUAAGUGCUUGCCACAUACUAGUUCAUUUAAUCCACAGUUACUGUGCCUAAUUCCAGAUGACAAAAUGGAAACUUAAAAAAGUGAUUUACCUAUCCAAGUAACAAAACUAGUAAAUGCCAGAUCUAGGACCUAAGUUCAAGUUUGUGUAAUUCUCAAGCUGUGGUUUUGGUUUGGUUUUUUUUUUUUUUUUUAAGAUUUUAUUUAUUCAUGAGACACACAGAGAGACAGAGAUAGAGAGGCAGAGACACAGGCAGAGGGAGAAACAGGCUCCAUGCAGGGAGCCCAAUGCAGGACUCGAUCCUGGGUAUCCACUGAACCACCCAGGCUGCCCUAGAGCUGUGUUUUUGUUAGUGACUCAUACAAGCAGAUCCUCUUGUCCUACUUGAUCCAUAGAGCCCAGGACACAGCUUGGGCUUCAAAGGUAUGAAAAGAGGGAAAAUUGUGGCUCAGCAACUUUUCUUUCUCCCAUUGAUACAAAGCUUUUAUACAAUGACCUUUGCCUGAAAACCAGAGAUAAGCUCUAACCAAAGGAUUCCAAAUUCCACCCAUGGGUAAGAGCCAGUCCCACUUCAGGGUGUUCUAUAACAUCCUGCCUUGGAAAAUAAAUGAAUCAUCAAAAGAACUGAUUUUAGUUUUCAAGGAUUUCAAGAGCAAGAGUGGUCCAGGCCUAAAAGUGAUGGAGAAAACUUUUCUUUGCCAUAAUCUGCUUUAACAGCCAGUAAUUUAUAGGUGCUGUACAAGUUAAUGAUCAGAGGAUCAUCAGAACAAAAGGAAGGGCAAUGGUCAGUAGUCUACCCAGGUAGCCCUUGGGUCCUAGUAUUUGAAACCAAGUGGUGUUUGUGUAAUACCAGUGCCUUACAUUCACAGAGAGGAUUCAACUUUACCAAAUUCUUCCACCUUUAUUAUCUCACUUGAUGUUAACAGUCCUGUGCAGUGGAUAGACAGCAUAGGGUCCUCACAUUCACUUCUGCAGGUUAUGCAAUACACCAAAAGGCUAGCUUAUAAGGCUACUGGAGAAUAAAAUCUAGUAAGUGUUCUGCUCACCCAAUUCAUGAGCCCUAAGGUAGAGCUUCAUCUACUUGGAAAAAGAGUACCUUUUCCUAAUUUCCACAAAGGGAUUGUAUGAACAGGUAACAGUCUAAAAGAUAACCACUGGGAUCCACACUUCAAAGAUGUGGAUGUCAAUUAUACCAAAAUAAAGCUAGAAAAAAAUAAAGAUGUAGAAACCCAGGCUCAAAGAUGUUUCAAAAUAUAGUUAAUAAGUAGUGGAUCUAAGAUUAGAAUUCAAGUCUUCCAACUCAUUCAGAAACACACUUUUUCAACUGUACUACAAGUCUCCCAUUGGUUCAGUUUAAUACAGGCUAUCUCUGUCUUCUCAUGUGGUAGACGAGUAUCUUCAGCACUUUGCUACAAACAACUGAACCAAAAUCUAGAGCUUUUUGGUGUAGCUCUAUCCUGAGGCCAUAACUGUUCUCUUAUUGAGGAAACUGAGAAUCAGAUAUGUGUGCCAACUGUACCAAGAGGGAUACUUUAUUUUUCUUUAAGAUUUUAUUUAUUUUUUCAUGAGAGACCCAAAGAAAGAGAAAGAGAGAGGCAGAGACACAGGCAGAGGGAGAAGCAGGCUCCAUGCAGGGAGCCCGACGUGGGACUCGAUCCCGGGCCUCCAGGGUCAGGCCCUGGGCUGAAGGUGGCGCUAAACCACUGAGCCACCCGGGCUGCCCCAAGGGGGAUACUUUAUUUUAUUUUAUUUUAUUUUUUUUAAGAGGGAUACUUUAAAUGGCUUUCCUAUUACUUUUGGAAAAAAAAUUUGGACCACCUGCCCUAAUGUUAAUGGAUCAUACAUCAUCACAGUGACAGGAAAUCAACAUUAUUAAUAUUAUGGGAGGUGGUAUGUGGAAAGGAUAUUAGAUAUGAAAUCUAAUUAUCUAAAUUCAGAUACCAGCAUUACCACUUGUUAGCUUCCUGGCCCUGGGAGAUAACAAAAACAAAGAUUAAGCACAUACUAUUUGCUUUGGCAUAUAUUUUGUUUACAUGAUGAAUAAUUGCACACAACCCUAAGAUGUUAUGUAC
rnacentral:lncRNA from 1 species